UAAAUAUAUCAAGAAUCGCUAUAGCCCCCCCCGGCCCCCAAAAACUAAUGAUUUUACUAACAUGAUACACAUAAUACAUUGUAAUUUCGAAUUUUCGAAAGAAAUAUCACUUUAUGCGCAUUAUUUAUUAAUGAAAUAAAAGAUGCUGGGAUGUUUAGUAUCCAAUGUGAUGAAGCUCGAUGCCACCACGAAGAACAACUGGUAAUAUGUAUUCGGUAUCCAAAAAACUUGAGCGUAUGUGAACGAUUUGUUGAAUUUGUAAACGUUUCUAAAAAACAAGAUGCAGAUGCUUUAGUUAAAGUUUUACUUAAUUUUAUCCAUAAAUCAAAUUUGAGUGAAAUUCCUAUAAUAGGAGUCCUAUGACGGUGCUGCUGUUAUGUCGGGUUCAGAGGGUGGGGUUCAAAGUAAACUGAGGCAAAACCAUCCACCAGCAUCAAAAGCUAUAUAUAUCCAUUGUAUGGCACAUAAGUUGAACCUUGUAAUAGUUGAUAUGUGCAAAAAUUUAAAGGAUGCUAGAAGUUUGUUUAAUGGAUUACAGGCUCUGUAUGUUCAUUUUUCCUAUCCAACUACUUAUAGUUAUUAGUUAUACUUAUUAGUUGUUGAAAUAGCAAUUACAUUGCCCGUAAGUUCGUCCACUUCUGAGAGGUCAUUUUCAACAAUGCGAAGAAUAAACACCUACUUAAGAUCUACUAUGUCCCAAAAUCGGUUCAGCAAUUUGGGUAUUCUUAAUAUUGAGAAAGAUAUUGUUGUUGACGUGGAAGAGAUUCUAAAUAAUUUUAGUAAAACCUAAAGGAGAAUUAAGUUAUUGUAAUUAGGUUUACUAUAAGAAUAAUAAAAAAAAACUGAUGUUAAAAAAUAAUAAUAAUGUUGUUAAUAUAGUUUUUAUAUUAUUAUGUGGAUUUGAUUUUUGAUGGUAUAUAAUAUAUAAUAUAUAUUAUAUGUACCUAUAUGUUUAUAUUUAUUUGUAAUUCAAAAAUGUUUAGGUGUUAAUUACUUGUAUAAAUGCUUCAUUCAGUAGCUAGGGCUUCAGCCCCCCCAAAUCUCAAACGCUAUUUGGGCCUAUGUAAUUUAAUAAUAUUAAAAAUAAAACUUUAUAUAAAAACAACCAAAUUAUAAACAUUCAAAUUUAUAGUAAUAGGUAUCUAAAAUUUAAAAAUGUACAAAUUUCUACUAAGUUUGAAAUAUUGAUUAAUUUAUAAUAUGUCAAUAAAAAUUAUAAACUCAUAAAUGAAUAGUUGCAAUUCUAUUAAAUGCUAUAUGAAUAAUAAACUAAUAAACACUAUUAUUAUAGUUAUUUUUAUAUUGCUUUAGUAAACCUAGUACAUUUUAUA